rnacentral:rRNA from 1 species
AUACGUAGGGUGCGAGCGUUGUCCGGAAUUACUGGGCGUAAAGAGCUCGUAGGUGGUUUGUCGCGUCGUCUGUGAAAUUCCGGGGCUUAACUCCGGGCGUGCAGGCGAUACGGGCAUAACUUGAGUACUGUAGGGGAGACUGGAAUUCCUGGUGUAGCGGUGAAAUGCGCAGAUAUCAGGAGGAACACCGGUGGCGAAGGCGGGUCUCGGGGCAGUAACUGAGGCUGAGGAGCGAAAGCAUGGGUAGCGAACAGGAUUAGAUACCCUGGUAGUCCAUGCCGUAAACGGUGGGCGCUAGGUGUAGGGGUCUUCCACGACUUCUGUGCCGUAGCUAACGCAUUAAGCGCCCCGCCUGGGGAGUACGGCCGCAAGGCUAAAACUCAAAUGAAUUGACGGGG